rnacentral:rRNA from 1 species
AGUGAACGCUGGCGGUAGGCCUAACACAUGCAAGUCGAACGGCAGCACAGUAAGAGUUUGCUCUUACGGGUGGCGACUGGCGGACGGGUGAGGCAUACAUCGGAAUCUACUUUUUCGUGGGUGAUAACGUAGGGACACUUACGCUAAUACCGCAUAUGACCUACGGGUGAAAGCAGUGGAUCUUCGGACCUUGCGCGAUUGAAUGAGCCGAUGUCGGAUUAGCUAGUUGGCGGGGUAAAGGCCCACCAAGGCAACGAUCCGUAGCUGGUCUGAGAGGAUGAUCGGCCACACUGGAACUGAGACACGGUCCAGACUCCUACGGGAGGCAGCAGUGGGGAAUAUUGGACAAUGGGCGCAAGCCUGACCCAGCCAUACCGCGUGAGUGAAGAAGGUCUUCGGGUUGUAAAGCCCUUUUGUUAGGAAAGAAAAACAGCAGGAUAAUACCCCGAUGUUCUGACGGUACCCAAAGAAUAAGCACCGGCUAACUUCGUG